GCCUUCGUGGUGCAACGGUUACGCACUCGGCGGGCAAUCGAGAGGUCCAGGUUCCAGUCCCGGCGAGGACA
rnacentral:tRNA from 1 species